GAUGAACGCUGGCGGCGUGCCUAAUACAUGCAAGUCGAACGAGGUGCUUUUGUAGCAAUACGAGAGUAUCCUAGUGGCGAACGGGUGAGUAACGCGUUGGUGACCUGCCCCAAAGUGUGGGAUAACAGUCCGAAAGGAUUGCUAAUACCGCAUGUGGUCUCUGGGUUUAGAAACCGGUGACUAAAGGAGUAAUUCGCUUUGGGAGGGACCUGCGUCCCAUCAGCUAGUUGGUGAGGUAACGGCUCACCAAGGCGACGACGGGUAGGGGACCUGAGAGGGUGACCCCCCACAAUGGAACUGAAACACGGUCCAUACACCUACGGGUGGCAGCAGUAGGGAAUAUUGGUCAAUGGGCGAAAGCCUGAACCAGCAACGCCGCGUGUGCGAUGAAGGCCUUCGGGUCGUAAAGCACUUUUCUGGGAGAUGAGAAAGGACAGUAUCCCAGGAAUAAGUCUCGGCUAACUACGUGCCAGCAGCCGCCGUAAUAC
rnacentral:rRNA from 1 species